GUGCAGACCAGAAAACUGAACCCAGUGCAAUGAAGUUCAUUCUAAUGGCACUCAGUAGAGCAGAGCUUUGGCUUUGGGCAAAGCUAAUUGAGAAACUGCACUCAUAAGCCUUUCUUCCAGCUUUAUAGUGGGUCCUUAGUUUUCACCAAGGCUUCAUCAUGCUCCCUCCAAUCUCUUCUUCAUACUAUAGCCAGUGAGGUCUAUCUACAAGGGAAACAAAGAUUAACUUGAAGCAGUCAUGUUUGAACUUCUAUCUGAAGGAUGAGUCAAGGAUGGGUUAAUGGAUAAAGAAGUGGCUUCAUGGUCAAGGAGACAGCAUCUAUGAAGAUUCCAAGGCUAGAGGCAUUGUUGUACUUUCUAGAACCCCAAAAGAGGGACAAGAUGGCUCUGGGCAUGAGUCAUAACUGUAUGCUGGGAAGAUUCCGAUGGGAACCUUGCUCUUGCUGGUUGAUCCAUACCUUACAUGGACUUGAGGCCAUGUGUGGCUUUUAUUAACAUGUGCAUUUUGCUUGUUAAGGCUCGAACUUCAUCUUUUCCUUCCCAACUCAUGUCCUGUUUUCAUUUCACACGCACCUGAUUCGGAAUUUGUGCUUGGGACUGAGUAGCUUGGGAAUAGUAAUUUGGAAAAUCUCUGAUUAUUUGUCAGCUAAGAUGGGAUGAUGUGUUCUCAGCUGCAGUUGGGAAAUGGUCUAUUUUUCUGCAGGGGACCAGAUUCAAAUGACAAAGUUCUAAUUCUUUCAGCUUCUCUGUCUACAUGGGCAGGUUUGGUGCAAAUAAAAAUUGUUCAUGGGUCAAGAAAGCUAUGAACCAUAGCGGACCUUUAUUUUUCUCAAUUACAGAAAGAAUUACUUUACAUG